AAGAGGAGACGUUCUUCGCUGCUGGGAUCUUCGUCUUGCAUCCUCGGCUGCAGUUUCUCAUUUUCUCUGAGCGUUUUCAGCCGUCAGUGAUGAAUAUCAACAUCCUGGGUACCAAAGUCCAUGUGGCCUUGGUGGUUUUUGGGCUGUGUGUCCUGGUGCUGUUUGGGUGCGUUGGGGUAAUCUCUUGGGGCGGUUGGAAAAUAAACCAACAGGAUGAAAAACACUCAGAAGACACAACAUAUUUAAAGAGUCUGGCUGAUAAGCUGAAGAAUGAAAAUGAAAAUCACAGAAUGAAACUGAGAAACUGAGCAACCAAAUUCAGAACCUGAAUGAAAAAUUACAGAAUGAAACUGAGAACCUGAACCAGACAAUCCAGUUAAUGCAGAAAUUCAAAACCUUCCUG